UGAAGAACGUAGCAAACUGCGAUACUUGGUGUGAAUUGCAGAAUCCCGUGAACCAUCGAGUUUUUGAACGCAAGUUGCG
rnacentral:rRNA from 1 species